AGAACGAACGCUGGCGGCAUGCCUAACACAUGCAAGUCGAACGUGAUCCAUGACUUCGGUUGUGGUGAAAGUGGCAAACGGGUGAGUAGCGCGUGGGAAUCUGCCCAGAGGUAGGGAAUAACCGCGGGAAACUGCGGCUAAUACCCUAUGUGCCCUACGGGGCAAAGAUUUAUCGCCUUUGGAGGAGCCCGCGUCGGAUUAGGUAGUUGGUAGGGUAACGGCCUACCAAGCCUACGAUCCGUAGCUGGUCUGAGAGGAUGAUCAGCCACACUGGGACUGAGAUACGGCCCAGACUCCUACGGGAGGCAGCAGUGGGGAAUAUUGGACAAUGGGGGCAACCCUGAUCCAGCAAUGCCGCGUGAGUGAUGAAGGCCUUCGGGUUGUAAAGCUCUUUCGGCGGGGAAGAUGAUGACGGUACCCGCAGAAGAAGCCCCGGCUAACUUCGUGCCAGCAGCCGC
rnacentral:rRNA from 1 species